rnacentral:rRNA from 1 species
AUGACACAUGCUACCGAAUCCUCUUUCAGGAGCUGCUAUAUAGCAUUGUACGUGGUUCCUCACAACAUGCUGCAACAGAAAACUCAGAAAGAUUUUGCAUCCAGAACAUGGGCUGGCUGCCGGAGCCGUCUUCUGCUGCUGUGCGACACGUGGUGGCCUGCGAGCGCGGCGCGGCUGAGCCGGGGCCAUCGUCCUCCACCUCAACACCUCGAUGAUGAUGGAGUUGCCGAUCAUCCCCACGCCGAAACCCGCAAAGGUGGCCAGGAUGAUGGAUAUCACAGCCUGCAGAUGCAGCUGCAACAAACAAACAGUUCCCAGGCAUCAACAUUUGCAUCAACAAAUCGUUCAAUACUUCAAACGGUGUGA